UUCCGUAGGUGGACCUGCGGAAGGAUCAUUA
rnacentral:ncRNA from 3 species